GAUGAACGCUGGCGGCGUGCCUAAUACAUGCAAGUCGAGCGGUAACACUUCGGGUGACGAGCGGCGGACGGCUGAGUAACACGUAGGAAUCUACCCCAGACUGAGGGAUAAGCACCGGAAACGGUGUCUAAUACCGCAUACGCUCUAAGGAGUAAAGCUUCGGCGGUUUGGGAAGAGCCUGCGCAUGAUUAGCUUGUUGGUAAGGUAAUGGCUUACCAAGGCGACGAUCAUUAGCUGGUCUGAUAGGAUGAUCAGCCAGACUGGGACUGAGACACGGCCCAGACUCCUACGGGAGGCAGCAGUAGGGAAUUUUCCACAAUGGGCGAAAGCCUGAUGGAGCAACGCCGCGUGCAGGAUGAAGGCCUUCGGGUUGUAAACUGCUUUAAUAUGUGAAGAUUAUGACGGUAGCAUAUGAAUAAGGAUCGGCUAACUCCGUGCCAGCCGCCGCAGUAA
rnacentral:rRNA from 1 species